AGUGAACGCUGGCGGUAGGCCUAACACAUGCAAGUCGAACGGCAGCACAGGAGAGCUUGCUCUCUGGGUGGCGAGUGGCGGACGGGUGAGAAAUACAUCGGAAUCUGCCCAGUCGUGGGGGAUAACGUAGGGAAACUUACGCUAAUACCGCAUACGACCUUCGGGUGAAAGAGGGGGAUCGCAAGACCUCUCGCGAUUGGAUGAGCCGAUGUCGGAUUAGCUAGUUGGCGGGGUAAUGGCCCACCAAGGCGACGAUCCGUAGCUGGUCUGAGAGGAUGAUCAGCCACACUGGAACUGAGACACGGUCCAGACUCCUACGGGAGGCAGCAGUGGGGAAUAUUGGACAAUGGGCGCAAGCCUGAUCCAGCCAUACCGCGUGGGUGAAGAAGGCCUUCGGGUUGUAAAGCCCUUUUGUUGGGAAAGAAAUCUUUCAGGCUAAUACCCUGGGAGGAUGACGGUACCCAAAGAAUAAGCACCGGCUAACUUCGUG
rnacentral:rRNA from 1 species